rnacentral:rRNA from 1 species
UUGACCUCAAAUCGGGUGAGACUACCCGCUGAACUUAAGCAUAUCAAUAAGCGGAGGAAAAGAAACUAACAAGGAUUCCCCUAGUAACUGCGAGUGAAGCGGGAAAAGCUCAAAUUUAAAAUCUGGUGGCCUCUGGUCACUCGAGUUGUAAUUUAGAGAAGCGUCUUCCGCGCUGGACCGUGCACAAGUCUCCUGGAAUGGAGCGUCAUAGAGGGUGAGAAUCCCGUCUUUGGCACGGACACACCAGGGCUUUUGUGAUGCGCUCUCAAAGAGUCGAGUUGUUUGGGAAUGCAGCUCAAAAUGGGUGGUGAACUCCAUCUAAAGCUAAAUAUUGGCGAGAGACCGAUAGCGAACAAGUACCGUGAGGGAAAGAUGAAAAGCACUUUGGAAAGAGAGUGAAACAGUACGUGAAAUUGUUGAAAGGGAAACGCUUGAAGUCAGUCGCGUUGACCGAGACUCAGCCUUGCCUUGGCUUGGUGUACUUCUCGGCUGACGGGCCAGCAUCAAUUUUGCCCCUCGGAUAAUGGCAAGGGAAAGGUGGCACCUUUAGGUGUGUUAUAGUCUCCUGUCGGAUGCGAGGGUUGGGAUUGAGGAACUCAGCACGCACCGCUUGGUGUCGGGGCUUCUGCCCACGCUACGUGCUUAGGAUGCUGGCGUAAUGGCUUUAAACGACCCGUCUUGAAACACGGACCAAGGAGUCUAACAUGCCCGCGAGUGUUUGGGUGGAAAACCCAUGCGCGUAAUGAAAGUGAAAGUUGGGACCUCUGUCGUGGGGGGCACCGACGCCCGGACCAGACCUUCUGUGACGGAUCUGCGGUAGAGCGUGCAUGUUGGGACCCGAAAGAUGGUGAACUAUGCCUGAAUAGGGUGAAGCCAGAGGAAACUCUGGUGGAGGCUCGUAGCGAUUCUGACGUGCAAAUCGAUCGUCAAAUUUGGGUAUAGGGGCGAAAGACUAAUCGAACCAUCUAGUAGCUGGUUCCUGC